GGGGGUGUAAAGGUUUCGACGGGGAUUUUGCAGUAUAGGAAGCGAGUAGCGGUGCGGAACCGCUUUAAAAUCCGUACAAAAAAUUAACUAACAACAAUAAAGUUGCUUUAGCAGCCUAAUUUGGCUGCUCAUCCGAGUCGGAAUUACCGUGAGCCGAUAAGGGUGUCAUUUUAGCGGUGAACGUGAACUGAGAAUUGUCCCCUUUUCAGUCACGCAGUAGGGACUUUCCGAUAUAUUAGCCUGAUGUUCGGCGAAUAUUGAGGGAAUUUAAAAGAACAUCUGCACUCGGAGAUGCCUAUAUGAAUAGAUUUUCGGACGGGGGUUCAAUUCCCCCCACCUCCACCA
rnacentral:tmRNA from 1 species